rnacentral:rRNA from 1 species
UGGGGAAUCUUGCGCAAUGGGCGAAAGCCUGACGCAGCAACGCCGCGUGAACGAAGAAGGCCUUCGGGUCGUAAAGUUCUGUCAAGGGGGACGAUAAUGACGGUACCCCUGGAGGAAGCCCCGGCUAACUACGUGCCAGCAGCCGCGGUAAUACGUAGGGGGCGAGCGUUGUCCGGAAUUAUUGGGCGUAAAGGGCGUGUAGGCGGCCGAUCAAGUCAGGUGUGAAAUGCCGGGGCUCAACCCUGGAGGUGCACUUGAAACUGGUUGGCUUGAGUGCAGAAGAGGAAAGUGGAAUUCCCAGUGUAGCGGUGAAAUGCGUAGAUAUUGGGAGGAACACCAGUGGCGAAGGCGACUUUCUGGUCUGUAACUGACGCUGAGGCGCGAAAGCUAGGGGAGCAAA